CAAAAAAAAAUAAACAAAAUUUAAAAAUUAAAAAACAAACAUUAAAGGGAGUCUUCAGAAACAAUUACAAUUCCAGCACUACUGGUCUUGGUGGCCCUCCCACAGGGAAAGGCAUUUGGGAUGGGCAGGAUGAGGCUAUUGGCAUCUGUGGUGUUGGCUUUGUUUGCUGUCACUCAAGCAGAGGAAGGAGCCAAAAAUCUGGCCUCCAAAUCACUGUUGAACAGAUAUGCUGUGGAGGGGCGAGACCUGACCUUACAGUACAACAUCUACAAUGUUGGCUCAAGCCCUGCAUUAGAUAUGGAAUUAGCUGAUGAUUCCUUCCCUGCAGAAGACUUUGGCAUUGUCUCUGGAAUGCUCAAUGUCAAAUGGGACUGGAUUGCCCCUGCUAGCAACGUCUCCCACACCGUGGUCCCGUGCCAUCUCAAGGCUGGUUAUUUCAACUUCACCUCAGCAACAAUUACUUACUUGGCCCAGGAGGAUGGGCUGUUGUGAUUGGCUCUACCAGUGCGCCUGGACAGGGAGGAAUCCUGGCUCAGCGGGAGGUUGAUAGACCAUUCUCCCCACAUUUUCUGGACUGGGCAGCCUUCGGGGUCAUGACCCUUCCCUCCAUUGGCAUCUCUCUGCUAUUGUGGUGCUCCAGCAAGAGGAAAUGCGGCACUCCCAAAGCGAAGAAGAACUGAGUAGGGUUUUCGUGGCCCUCCUCCCCAA